rnacentral:misc_RNA from 1 species
GAAGGCUUGAACUCUUCUAUUUAAUUGGAUACGGAGGCCCUUGGGACGUGGCUGGUGGCGCUGUAAUAGUGAAGGAAGCUGGAGGCGUCCUGUUUGAUCCAUCUGGUUCGGAAUUUGACAUCACAUCACAACGUGUAGCCGCUACAAACCCUCAUCUCAAGGAAGCGUUUGUCGAGGCCUUGCAGCUAUCCGAAUAUGUAUCAUAGGAGAUGGAAAGCGGACACUUCAAAACCAGUUAAGUUCUUU